rnacentral:rRNA from 1 species
UACGAAGGGGGCUAGCGUUGCUCGGAAUUACUGGGCGUAAAGCGCACGUAGGCGGCUCUUUAAGUCGGAGGUGAAAUCCUGGAGCUCAACUCCAGAACUGCCUUCGAUACUGAAGAGCUCGAGUCCGGGAGAGGUGAGUGGAACUGCGAGUGUAGAGGUGAAAUCGUAGAUAUUUGCAAGAACACCAGUGGCGAAGGCGGCUCACUGGCCCGGUACUGACGCUGAGGUGCGAAAGCGUGGGGAGCAAACAGG